rnacentral:rRNA from 1 species
UUCCCCUAGUAACUGCGAGUGAAGCGGGAAAAGCUCAAAUUUAAAAUCUGGCGGUCUUUGGCCGUCCGAGUUGUAAUCUAGAGAAGUGUUAUCCGCGCUGGNCCGUGUACAAGUCUCCUGGAAUGGAGCGUCAUAGAGGGUGAGAAUCCCGUCUUUGACACGGACUGCCAGGGCUUUGUGAUGCGCUCUCAAAGAGUCGAGUUGUUUGGGAAUGCAGCUCAAAAUGGGUGGUAAAUUCCAUCUAAAGCUAAAUAUUGGCGAGAGACCGAUAGCGAACAAGUACCGUGAGGGAAAGAUGAAAAGAACUUUGGAAAGAGAGUUAAACAGUACGUGAAAUUGCUGAAAGGGAAACGCUUGAAGUCAGUCGCGUUGGCCGGGAAUCAACCUUGCUUUUGCUGGGCGUACUUUCCGGUUGACGGGUCAACAUCAAUUUUGACCGUUGGAUAAAGGCUGAGGGAAUGUGGCUUCUUCGGGAGUGUUAUAGCCCUUGGUCGCAUACAACGGUUGGGAUUGAGGAACUCAGCACGCNGCAAGGCCGGG